rnacentral:SRP_RNA from 1 species
GCUCAGUGCAGUGCCGAGUGCCUGCAGUCCCAGCUACUUGGCAGGCUGAAGUGGAAGGAUCGCUUGAGCCCAGAAAUUCUGGGCUGUAGUGCACUAUGUCGAUGGAGUGUCCGCACUAAGUUCGGCAUCAGUAUGGUGACCUCCCGGGAGUGUGGGACCACCAGGUCGCCUAAGGAGGGGUGAACCGACCCAGGUCGGAAACAAAGCAGGUCAAAACUCCCGUGUUGAUCGGUAGUGGGAUCGCGCCUGUGAACAACCACUGCAUUCCAGCCUGGGCAACAUAGUGAGACCCCAUCUCU